rnacentral:snRNA from 1 species
GAAAGUGAGAGUGAUAUGCUGCAACAUCUGUCACCGCAUUGAUUGCCACAGUUGAUUUGGCUGUUCUGGCUGGCUAGGAGAGUGUCUCCAUCAUCCCUCACCACUCCAUGUGCAUCCCUUAUGAAACUGUGUAUUCAGUCAAAGAGGAAACCCUUCUCUGCUAGAGGAAGACUGGUCUCCAGUCAAGGGUAUAUGAGUAGCUGCACUCCCCUGCUAGAACCUCCAAACAAGCAUUCAGAUACAUGCUCCUUCCCUUUCUCUCAGGGUUGCUGUGCUGAGGGCAAUGAGAUAAUACAAGGAAUUGUACAGUGCUCCCU